rnacentral:misc_RNA from 1 species
UAUCAACCAUCAAGCUAAGCUUGUCGUUGGACCCUUUGUCGCCUGGCGACAGGUCCGAAAGAUAAUGAACGGUGUCAUGGCGACCCUAUAUGCAACGAGCUUGUAAAUAGCACGCAUUUGGUGGUCGUCUGGCCCGAUCGUCACCUUUUAUUUUUCUCCAGGUUGACCUCGGAUCAGGUAGGAAUACCCGCUGAACUUAA